GAUGAACGCUGGCGGCGUGCCUAAUACAUGCAAGUCGAGCGAACAGACGAGGAGCUUGCUCCUCUGACGUUAGCGGCGGACGGGUGAGUAACACGUGGAUAACCUACCUAUAAGACUGGGAUAACUUCGGGAAACCGGAGCUAAUACCGGAUAAUAUAUUGAACCGCAUGGUUCAAUAGUGAAAGACGGUUUUGCUGUCACUUAUAGAUGGAUCCGCGCCGCAUUAGCUAGUUGGGAAGGUAACGGCUUACCAAGGCAACGGUGCGUAGCCGACAUGAGAGGGUGAUCCGCCACACUGGAACUGAGACACGGUCCCGACUCCUACGGGAGGCAGCAGUAGGGAAUCUUCCGCAAUGGGCGAAAGCCUGACGGAGCAACGCCGCGUGAGUGAUGAAGGUCUUCGGAUCGUAAAACUCUGUUAUUAGGGAAGAACAAAUGUGUAAGUAACUAUGCACGUCUUGACGGUACCUAAUCAGAAAGCCACGGCUAACUACGUG
rnacentral:rRNA from 1 species